rnacentral:sRNA from 1 species
UUUUAGAUUCCCCCAAAAAAGCAAAAAUGUCCACCCCCAUGACAGUCUCCCCUGUAUAUAUAGCUAUGAAUGUAUUGGAAAACACAGAUUAUCAAAACCAAAAUGGGAUGGCAUCACCAUUUGCUGGAUCUGGUUUGAACCAGAUUACAGUUCAAGAGUGGACCUUCUUUGAAAACUCUGUCAGGCAAGAACUCUAUUGAUGAUCAAACUGAACGUGUUCUAGACAGAAUGGAAAAAAAGAUUGAUAAACUUUUCUUUCUAUUGGAAAACGUCAGGGAGGAUUUGUCUGCAGUGCAGGCGCAACUACAAAUGAAAGACAUGGAAGAGAUGCAAAGUAAUUCUAUCAAAAUUAAAUAUGCAGCACUUUUUCCAGUGGCUGAUACAAAAUCACUUCUAGAGAUAGAAGUGAAGCUUAAAGAUGAAGAGUUUAGAAAAUUUUUGAAUCAGACUUUUUCCCACUUGGGUGGUCUAUCUGGUGAGGAUAGCAUCAGAAGAAUGCUUAAAUAUUUAAUGACGGAUACCCUGGCCAUGGAGUAUAAUCUGACUGGAAAUGGCUCAAAAAAACAAAAAAUGUUUUUUGAAUUGUAGAACAAUUAUGGAAACUAUGCUAGACUCUAUCCAAUUUAAGUGAGUUACCCAACUCUGUCAAAAAAAGAAGCGGAGAAGGUAAUUGGAACUUGGCUGUUAAAUGCCCAUGACCGUAAUGGAGGUCGCAAAAAAAGAAGGAUAUAACAAGUAUUUCAAUGAGUUCAACAAUGUUAGACAAAGACGAACAAUGUUAAUAGGCUAGAGCAGCUAAUUGAAAAAAAUAAAUUUUGUGGGGGGGGUUAUUAUUUUUUUUUUAAUUUACA